rnacentral:rRNA from 1 species
AUUGAACGCUGGCGGCAGGCUUAACACAUGCAAGUCGAGCGAGGUGAUGGUGCUUGCACUAUCACUUAGCGGCGGACGGGUGAGUAAUGCUUAGGAAUCUGCCUAUUAGUGGGGGACAACAUCUCGAAAGGGAUGCUAAUACCGCAUACGUCCUACGGGAGAAAGCAGGGGAUCACUUGUGACCUUGCGCUAAUAGAUGAGCCUAAGUCGGAUUAGCUAGUUGGUGUGGUAACGGCUCACCAAGGCGACGAUCUGUAGCGGGUCUGAGAGGAUGAUCCGCCACACUGGGACUGAGACACGGCCCAGACUCCUACGGGAGGCAGCAGUGGGGAAUAUUGGACAAUGGGGGGAACCCUGAUCCAGCCAUGCCGCGUGUGUGAAGAAGGCCUUAUGGUUGUAAAGCACUUUAAGCGAGGAGGAGGCUCUUUUGGUUAAUACCCAAGAUGAGUGGACGUUACUCGCAGAAUAAGCACCGGCUAACUCUGUGCCAGCAGCCGCAGUAA